GACGAACCGUGCAAACGUUGUUCGGAAUUACUGGGCGUAAAGGGCGCGUAGGCGGCCAUCUAAGUCAGACGUGAAAUCCCUCAGCUUAACUGGGGAACUGCGUCCGAUACUGGAUGGCUUGGAUUCGGGAGAGGGAUGCGGAAUUCCAGGUGUAGCGGUGAAAUGCGUAGAUAUCUGGAGGAACACCGGUGGCGAAGGCGGCAUCCUGGACCGAUAUUGACGCUGAGGAGCGAAAGCCAGGGGAGCAAACGGG
rnacentral:rRNA from 1 species